rnacentral:rRNA from 1 species
AUUGAACGCUGGCGGAAUGCUUUACACAUGCAAGUCGAGCGGCAGCGCGGGGGCAACCCUGGCGGCGAGCGGCGAACGGGUGAGUAAUACAUCGGAACGUGUCCUUGAGUGGGGGAUAGCUCGGCGAAAGCCGGAUUAAUACCGCAUAAGCUCUGCGGAGGAAAGCGGGGGACUGGUAACGGCCUCGCGCUGUUGGAGCGGCCGAUGUCGGAUUAGCUAGUUGGUGGGGUAAAGGCCCACCAAGGCGACGAUCCGUAGCUGGUCUGAGAGGAUGAUCAGCCACACUGGAACUGAGACACGGUCCAGACUCCUACGGGAGGCAGCAGUGGGGAAUUUUGGACAAUGGGGGCAACCCUGAUCCAGCCAUUCCGCGUGAGUGAAGAAGGCCUCGGUUGUAAG